rnacentral:rRNA from 1 species
UACGACUACAUAUCAGGCCAUAUCAAUAAGCGGAGGAAAAGAAACUAACUAGGAUUCCCUUAGUAACGGCGAGUGAAGCGGGAAGAGCUCAAAUUUGAAAUCUUAAAGGUUUUCCCUUGACGAAUUGUAGUUUAAAGAAGUGUUUUCUGUUGGAAUUUUCGGUAAAAGUUCUUUGGAAAUAGGACAUCAUAAGAGGGUGAGAAUCCCGUAUUUGACCAUUACUUUCCAGCUGUGUGAUACACUUUCAAAGAGUCGGAUUGUUUGGGAAUGCAGUCCAAAAUGGGUGGUAAAUUUCAUCUAAAGCUAAAUACUGGCGAGAGACCGAUAGCGAACAAGUACCGUGAGGGAAAGAUGAAAAGAACUUUGAAAAGAGAGUUAAACAGUACGUGAAAUUGUCAAAAGGGAAGCGUUUGACACCAGUGUUGUUUUCUCGAAAAUCAAUUAAAAAUGGCAUGAUUUUGUGUUGUAUUGACCUUUAAUCAAGCUUUCUUCACUUUUUUCAUUGUCUUUUUUAAUGCACUUUUCGUUUAACAAGUCAACAUCAGUUUCUUUUGCUGUAAAAGAGUCAUUGGAAGGUGGCUUUCUUUUCGGAGAAAGUGUUUAUAGCCUUUGACUUCUGCAAGUCGGAGAGAUUGAGGUCUGCAGCGUAGAUCCUUCUGGAUUAGAUUCAUUUGUGCUAAGUUAUAGCCUUUCAUAGACAACAUGUUGACUAUAGUUUAGUCUUGUAGCUUACUCGCUUAUGUAAUUUUACCUACGCUUAGGAUGUUGACGCGCGUGUGUGCGUG